rnacentral:lncRNA from 1 species
GCGGCUGUCCAUAUGGAAUCAGUGGGCUGUCUGUAUGGGAUCAGUAGGAUCUCACUAUGGGACCACCAGGCUGUCUGUGUGGGAUCAGAAGGCUGUCCCUAUGGGAUCAGUGGGCUGUCCGUAUGGGAUCAGAAGGCUGUCCGUGUGGGAUCAGUGGGCUGUCUGUAUGGGAUCAGCAGGCUGUUCCUAUGGGAUCAGUAGGAUCUCUCCAUGGGAUCAGCACACUGUCCAUAUGGGAUCAAUGGGCUGUCUGUAUGGGAUCAGCAGGCUGUCCGUAUGGGAUCAGCGGGCUGUCUGUAUGGGAUCAGUGGGAUCUCACUAUGGGACCAUCAGGCUGUCCGUGUGGGAUCAGCGGUGUGGUGCUGUGCGGUGCGGGGCGGUACGGUGCGGUGUGGGGUGGGGUGGGGU